GGCCCCGUGGCCUAGCCUGGAAGGGCGGCGGUCUCCGGAACCGCAGGUCCCGGGUUCAAAUCCCGGCGGGGCCGCCA
rnacentral:tRNA from 1 species